GGAAACCUGAAAACUGUCGUUGGAUCAAAAAAAUGAACGUCUGAGAUUCGUUCAUGUCACCACGAGUAAAAAUUUUACUCUCAUGAGUAAGCUUACAAGUAAAAUUUUUACUCGUGAUUACGUGGACGAAUCUUGGAAGUCUAUUUUUCGAUCCAACGGUAGUUUCCACU
rnacentral:pre_miRNA from 1 species